AUUGAACGCUGGCGGCAGGCCUAACACAUGCAAGUCGAACGGUAACAGAAAGCAGCUUGCUGCUUUGCUGACGCGUGGCGGACGGGUGAGUAAUGUCUGGGAAACUGCCUGAUGGAGGGGGAUAACUACUGGAAACGGUAGCUAAUACCGCAUAACGUCGCAAGCCCAAAGAGGGGGACCUUCGGGCCUCUUGCCAUCGGAUGUGCCCAGAUGGGAUUAGCUAGUAGGUGGGGUAACGGCUCACCUAGGCGACGAUCCCUAGCUGGUCUGAGAGGAUGACCAGCCACACUGGAACUGAGACACGGUCCAGACUCCUACGGGAGGCAGCAGUGGGGAAUAUUGCACAAUGGGCGCAAGCCUGAUGCAGCCAUGCCGCGUGUAUGAAGAAGGCCUUCGGGUUGUAAAGUACUUUCAGCGGGGAGGAAGGGAGUAAAGUUAAUACCUUUGCUCAUUGACGUUACCCGCAGAAGAAGCACCGGCUAACUCCGUG
rnacentral:rRNA from 1 species